rnacentral:rRNA from 1 species
UACGAAGGGUGCAAACGUUGCUCGGAAUUAUUGGGCGUAAAGCGCACGUAGGCGGCUUUGCAAGUCCCAUGUGAAAUCCCACGGCUCAACCGUGGAAGUGCAUGGGAAACUGCAGAGCUUGAGUACUUAAGAGGAUCGCGGAAUUCCCGGUGUAGAGGUGAAAUUCGUAGAUAUCGGGAGGAACACCAGUGGCGAAGGCGGCGAUCUGGGAAGAUACUGACGCUGAGGUGCGAAAGCGUGGGGAGCAAGCAGG